GACGAACCGUGCGAACGUUAUUCGGAAUCACUGGGCUUAAAGCGCGUGUAGGCGGGAGGGCACGUCCGUCGCUGAAAUCCCCCGGCUCAACCGGGGAACGGGCGCGGAUACGACCUUCCUUGAGGGCGUAGGGGGACCUGGAACUUCCGGUGGAGCGGUGAAAUGCGUUGAGAUCGGAAGGAACGCCCGUGGCGAAAGCGAGGUCCUGGACGCCUACUGACGCUGAGACGCGAAAGCCAGGGGAGCGAACGGGAUAGAAACC
rnacentral:rRNA from 1 species